CCCGCUCAGAAACUCAAAGAAAUUGACGGGGGCCCGCACAAGCGGUGGAGCAUGUGGUUUAAUUCGAUGAUACGCGAGGAACCUUACCUGGGCUCAAAUGUAUGUUGACGUAUUCUGAAAGGGAUACUUCUUCGGACAAUAUACAAGGUGCUGCAUGGUUGUCGUCAGCUCGUGCCGUGAGGUGUCGGGUUAAGUCCCAUAACGAGCGCAACCCCUAUCAUUAGUUGCCAUCAGGUCAAGCUGGGGACUCUAAUGAAACUGCCUACGCAAGUAGUGAGGAAGGUGGGGAUGACGUCAAAUCAGCACGGCCCUUACGUCCUGGGCUACACACGUGCUACAAUGGCCGGUACAGAGUGAAGCGAAACCGCGAGGUGAAGCAAAACGCAGAAAGCCGGUCUCAGUACGGAUUGGAGUCUGAAACUCGACUUCAUGAAGUUGGAAUCGCUAGUAAUCGCGCAUCAGCAUGGCGCGGUGAAUACGUUCCCGGGCCUU
rnacentral:rRNA from 1 species